rnacentral:rRNA from 1 species
AGCAGUGGGGAAUAUUGGACAAUGGGCGAAAGCCUGAUCCAUCAAUGCCGCGUGAGUGAUGAAGGCCUUAGGGUUGUAAAGCUCUUUUACCCGGGAUGAUAAUGACAGUACCGGGAGAAUAAACUCCGGCUAACUCCGUGCCAGCAGCCGCGGUGAUACGGAGGGAGCUAGCGUUAUUCGGAAUUACUGGGCGUAAAGCGCACGUAGGCGGCUUUGUAAGUAAGAGGUGAAAACCUGGUGCUCAACACCAGAGCUGCCUUUUAUACUGCAUCGCUAGAAUCCAUGAGAGGUGAGUGGAAUUCCGAGUGUAUAGGUGAAUUCGUAUAUAUUCUGAAGAACACCAGUGGCGAACGCGCUCACUGGACUGGUAUUGACACUGAGG